GAUUCAGCUUAUCUUUAUUUCUCAUCUUUCCAAUCUUAAACUGAGUUCACCACAUUUUCAUAUUCGUUCAUGAUUCUUCUAAAAAACUUGAAAAAUUGUCAGUACAUUUAUCCUAAUAUACUCAUUUUUGUAUGGAAUUUUAUCUAAUAUACACAUUUUUGAAAGCAAUUUCCCUUACUAUAAGAACUUUUAUGUGCACUAAUGCACACAUGUAGAAAGUGUAGGAUGCAGGCAGAAGUAGUGAGUAGCAUCUAAACCCAUCUUCCCUACCCUGGUGCCCUUCAGAUGUUGGACUACGACUCUCAUCACCCCCAGCCAUUAUGGCCAAUGAUCAGGGAUUAUGGGAGCUGGAGUCCUAAACAUCUGGAGGGCUUCAGGUUGGGAAAGGCUGAUCUGAAUUAUUCUGAAGUGCUUUCAAGAUUGAUUGGUUGCCUGUUGAAUGAGAUUGUAUGAGAGCUAAAAAAAAGGACAACUGAUCAGGCAGUCAUUGAACAACAACAAAACAGAACAUAAUGUCUAAUAUGUUAUGUAAACAAAGUGCUUCCAGAAUUAUAUGAUGGUACUAAAUUUUAAGUUGUGUUGCACCUUAUAGACUUAACAAAUUUUACUGUGAUAAAAGUAUAAACUUACAUAGCAUCUCCUGUGUUGGAAUUUGCUUUAUGCUGGAUGGUGUGCGUCAUCCUACCUGACUGGCAGGCUGAUUUUUAAAAAAACCAAAUUCAAUGGGAUGCAUCUGUGGUUUCUAAAAGAUUAAUUAAUAACCACCACAGUAGGUGGUAGUGGUGGGAUCCUAACUGGGUUAAGUCAGUGGUUCUCAAACACUUUUUCUCUGGGCCACACUUUCAGAAUAAAAAUUUGCUCUCGCCGCACUUAAUUGAUAAGAAAUACAUUUUUUAAAAAACUCCUAGCAAUGCUUGAUUUAUAACAUAAAACACAACUAGUUUAUAAUAUAAUCAUAGGACAUCAAGAAAGUAUAAAACAAUGCUACAUAAGAACAUGAAUCAUUCCCAAAAUAUAAUUAUAAACGAGUCUUCUCCAGCACUCUGUUCGAACAGCAAUUCUCAGCAACAACUCAGAUUCUCUUUGGUAUCAUUUGAUACUCCUGGUUUGUUUUGAAAAGAUGCAUAUCAAUAUUCUGCAAAUAAUUUUUUUAUACUCUACUCUACUGAAAUGUUUAAACGUUUCUUUGAAUGAAUCUUCCCGCCACACUUACCAUCCUUUCCUGCCACACUAGUGUGGUGCACCAGACCCUUUGAGAACCACUGGGUUAAGAUGUGUUUGGCAUCCUGUAUUUAAACCCUAAGUGUAUCUAACACAGAGAGAGGCACACUUCCCUCCUCAUAGUUGUUACCACAAUCCCCUUAAAUCUGGGAUGCAGAGGCCCAAGGGUGUUUCUUGUCUGAAGGUGUGGUUUCUAGAUAAGCUCCAGUGCCUCUUUCUCUUUUGGAAAUAAAUCACAGGAAAGAGCAUUCCAGUCUAGCAAACCACAUUUACCAAAUUACAGAUAACUGAAAGAAUGGAAGCUAAGAAAAAGAAAGGGAGGGGAGCUAAUUUGUGCAGAUCUGAGUAGCACUGCUGGCAGCAAGAGAAUCAUUAAUGCUGCAGACAGAUAAAGUCCUUCCUUCUUCCAUAUAUGGCUUCUGGUUGAUGAAUCUUUUGAAGCACAAAAUUACAGUGGAAAAUUAUUGCUUCUGCUUCAAUUGCAGCAGAUCUGUGGGCUGGUUCAUACAUGCAGGUUCAGUACCUAUGAUUGUAACAUCAAGCAACAACCUGCAUGUGUGAAUGACUCUUCACAGAUAGAGAAAUUAUGUUUGGAUCUCCUUACAUCACUUCUAGUGCAAUGAUUUUCUGUUAGACAUCCCCCCUCCAGCCCAGUUUAUUUUUUCUAUUGUGACUUCAUUUUUCAUCCAAGGACUAGGACCUAGGAGACCAGGGCUCAAAUCCCCACUCAGCCUGGUUUACCUUAUUCCAGGGAUGGGUUGAGAAAGAGUAACUGCCCCAAGAUAAUCAGACUCCCUUCACUGCUGAGCAGAGGUUUGAAACUGGAUCUCACCAGUCCACAUGCAUGCAGUCCAGUCUUGCCAACCUGGCACCCUCAAGAUGUUUUGAAGUAUAAGGGAGCCAGCACAGCCAUGAUCACAGAAUCGGGGGCACCAAAGGUCAGAAGGAAGCAAGUCAUCAGCCAGCUGUGAACCAGAGGCAAGUGGUACAGUCCAAGAUAGGGGAAAUGGCAGGUAGUAGGCCAAUAAUGCAGUGUAGUGGUUAAAGUGCUGGGCUAUGACCAUGGUUCGGAUCCCAACUCAGCCAUAAGGCUCACUGGAUAAUGAUAAUGAUGAUGAUAAUGAUGAUAAUGAUAAUAAUAAUAAUUUAUUUAUACCCCACCCAUUUGGCUGGGUUUCCGCAGCUACUCUGGGCAGCUCCCAACAAAAUAUUGAAAACACGAUAAAACAUCAAACAUUAAAAACUUCCCUAAACUGAGUCAGUCAAGGUCUCUCAGUCUACCUCACAGGAUUGCUGUGAGAGCAAAACCGGAGAGGAUAACUGUAUAUGACACCGUGAACUCCUUGGAGGGAAAAUUGGAUUUAAAUGUAAUAAUCAACAAAUAAACAAGGAAAUAAAUAUGAGGCCAAAUGUAUGCUGCAAUGUCUAGGCAGGCAAAGGGUCAAGUUUAGGAUGGGAGGAGUUUGGGGUUUAUAGUUGUUUGAUUGUAAAAACUGUCUGAGGAAUUUGGAAGAGAAUAUAGAAAUGCCUAUAAAUGAUUUUUUUUUAAAGCAAGUAGGUUCCUUUAAGUCAGACAUACUGAUCUGAGCUAUGGGGCAGAAAACAUUGGGGAUUGUGUAUAUGACUCAUAUUAACGAGCUCCAUUAAUGUUCCCCAUUCAUUUUAGCAUGGCUUCUGUAGGCAGCAAUCUCAGCAAAGCAUGAUUCAUGUUCACUAGCUUGUGUGUGCAUGUGUGUAUGUAGGCAAGGCAGGUGAUACUGUAUGGAUUUGUAUCUCUGGCACCAAAAUGUCUUGGGACAGUCCUACCUUUCCAUCCCUCUCUGAAGCAGCUCCUGUUUGAAAGUAAUAAUCCAUGGCGGAUUCAUGGAAAGUGGAGCUAGGCAGGGACCACACAGAACUCAGCUCACCUCCCCAGCCACCCUGUAGUUCACCCCUGCGGGGAAACACUGCGGUUUUUGCCUGACUAGGUUUGGAAAAGGCUUCUGGAAAAGCAUUUUUGCCUCCACAUGCAGCUCUGUAUCAUAGGAGGUUUUUGGACAAGAAAAGUGCAUAUUUUCAACAGUAAAAUGUUGGCGAGUAUGCAAUUCAGAGUCUUCAGCAGCGAUGGCCAAAUCAACUUCAGUUUCUCUCAGUUUCUCAUUUUUCUAAUCUUAAAUUCAGUUUUUCACAUUCCCACAGUAAUUUGUGGUUUCUUUGGGGGUGGGGGUGGGGUGGAAUCCUCAUGAAAAUUAGUCAACAGAUUAGUGUGAAUUUCUCUUAGUAAACACAUUUUUUCUUGCAGUUUUAACUAAUAUACACAUUUUAGUAAGCAAUUUCUCUUAACAUAUGAUGUUUUAAAAUGUGCUUUCCCCUAAUAUAUCAGUUUUGAUGCAUUUCCUCCUAAAAUAUGUAUGCUUUUACACAUUUGUUGGAGAACUGCAUCACAAUGUUUGGAGGAAUCAGAAUUUCAAAGGAUAGCUGUAUUUUGGUUUGAUGAGUGCAACUUAGGUAGUUUCACAUUAAAAUGCAAACAAAAUCAAAUUGCCUCCCCAGUGUUAGCCAGACCAGCAUGGGAUGAUUACUUACCUUACAUUGUGGCCUGAAUGAGAUCCACUCGUUCAGCCGCAAAGGACUUCCAAGAAAGUGACACCUGGUAUGACCCUGGGGAAGAACAAGUACGAGGGGAGGAAAAUCUCUGCUUGAACAAUCCUGGUUCCAUUUGGACACCAUGUAAUUGCUUUUGCUGUUCCUGUACUAGAUUUGAGGAUGGUUUUGUUCAGAUAAUCCUUUGCAAGCUGCUUUGAGAGACCCCUGAGGCUAUAAAACAGAAUAUUUAUCUUUAUGUAUUUAUUAAAUUUCUAUCCCUCUCUCCAUUCAUGGAAAGGAGCCAAGUGCAGUAAACAGAUAAGUAGUAAAGCAAUACAAUU